rnacentral:rRNA from 1 species
GACGAACGCUGGCGGCGUGCCUAAUACAUGCAAGUAGAACGCUGAAGAGAGGAGCUUGCUCUUCUUGGAUGAGUUGCGAACGGGUGAGUAACGCGUAGGUAACCUGCCUUGUAGCGGGGGAUAACUAUUGGAAACGAUAGCUAAUACCGCAUAACAAUGGAUGACACAUGUCAUUUAUUUGAAAGGGGCAAUUGCUCCACUACAAGAUGGACCUGCGUUGUAUUAGCUAGUAGGUGAGGUAAUGGCUCACCUAGGCGACGGUACAUAGCCGACCUGAGAGGGUGAUCGGCCACACUGGGACUGAGACACGGCCCAGACUCCUACGGGAGGCAGCAGUAGGGAAUCUUCGGCAAUGGGGGCAACCCUGACCGAGCAACGCCGCGUGAGUGAAGAAGGUUUUCGGACCGUAAAGCUCUGUUGUAAGUCAAGAACGGGUGUGAGAGUGGAAAGUUCACACUGUGACGGUAGCUUACCAGAAAGGGACGGCUAACUACGUG